rnacentral:rRNA from 1 species
GACGAACGCUGGCGGCGUGCUUAACACAUGCAAGUCGAACGGAAAGGCCCUGCUUUUGUGGGGUGCUCGAGUGGCGAACGGGUGAGUAACACGUGAGUAACCUGCCCUUGACUUUGGGAUAACCUCAGGAAACUGGGGCUAAUACCGGAUAGGAGCUCCUGCUGCAUGGUGGGGGUUGGAAAGUUUCGGCGGUUGGGGAUGGACUCGCGGCUUAUCAGCUUGUUGGUGGGGUAGUGGCUUACCAAGGCUUUGACGGGUAGCCGGCCUGAGAGGGUGACCGGCCACAUUGGCACUGGGGUGCGGCCCGGACUCCUACGGGAGGCAGCAGUGGGGAAUAGUGCACAAUGGGCGGAGGCCGGAUGCAGCAACGCCGCGUGCGGGAUGACGGCCUUCGGGUUGUAAACCGCUUUCGCCUGUGACGAAGCGUGAGGGACGGUAAUGGGUAAAGAAGCACCGGCUAACUACGU